GAUGAACGCUGGCGGCGUGCCUAAUACAUGCAAGUCGAGCGAACGGACGAGAAGCUUGCUCCUCUGAUGUUAGCGGCGGACGGGCGAGUAAGACGUGGGUAACCUACCUAUCCGACUCGGCGAACUUCGGGAACCCAAGGCUAAUAACGGAUAAUAUUUUUACCCUCAUGGUUCAAAAGUGAAAGACGGUCUUGCUGUCACUUAUAGAUGGAUCCGCGCUGCAUUAGCUAGUUGGGAAGGUAACGGCUUACCAAGGCAACGAUGCAUAGCCGACCUGAGAGGGUGAUAGGCCACACUGGAACUGAGACACGGUCCAGACUCCUACGGGAGGCAGCAGUAGGGAAUCUUCCGCAAUGGGCGAAAGCCUGACGGAGCAACGCCGCGUGAGUGAUGAAGGUCUUCGGAUCGUAAAACUCUGUUAUUAGGGAAGAACAAAUGUGUAAGUAACUGUGCACAUCUUGACGGUACCUAAUCAGAAAGCCACGGCUAACUACGUG
rnacentral:rRNA from 1 species